GCCGCGUGAGCGAUGACGGAUUUCGGGAUGUAAAGCUCUUUCUUAGGGAAGAAAUGACGGUACCUGACUAAGAUUGCCGGCUAAUACGAGCCAGGCGCCGCUGUAACGUACCAGCCGCCGCGGUAAU
rnacentral:rRNA from 1 species